rnacentral:lncRNA from 1 species
GACUCCUUCCCAGAUCUUCUUGGCUUAGCAUCUGAAGACUGACACUGCCCGAUUGCCUCAGAAGCCCACAGGACCAUCACAGACACUCUAGGUGUGCAGAAACCGAAAGAGUACUCACCAGAUGGAUGAUGUCCCUGAGGCCUUUAUAAAACCAGAUCCUGAAUAAAGUCAGAGCUCAACCAAAAGGAGUGAGUCCAAAAUAUAUGAGGCGACUGACAGAAACAAAGAGGUGAUUCAUGAAAAUGAAGAGCACAGCAGCUCAGGUG